GCGGAAAGAACAGAACUGGGAGC
rnacentral:piRNA from 1 species